AGGUGCCAGUGAGGGGCAGGAUUCUCCCAUGUCCCUUCCCACCUUGAGAACAUGUUUUUUUUAGGGAACCACUCAAGCUCCCACCCUGGCCCUGGGAUCUUCUUUGUGACAGGCAUCCUUGGCUGUGCCUUGGGACCCUGCAUGUUCCUUUUUUUCGUUUUCCUGGCGAUUCAAAAGUGCAGACAGAAAAUAAAGUGCGAAGGCUGGUUUUCACGUUCCUCAAAGAAAGAAGAUCUGGGAGAGGAGAAACUCCUGACCAAAGAGUGUGAGUUUGGAAAUGAGGAUGCUGCACUUGGAAGCUGUGGAAUUCCAUUUGAAGAACAAAUAUGUGUCUAUUGAAGCUCCUGUUACAUUUUGGUCCAAACUAGAAGUACAGAAAAUAUCACUUCAUAUGUCAAAAAAAGGGUAACACUGACUUGUGUCCCAUUUUUACAUACAUUGUCCAACAAUAAAUACUUUGGUCCUUCCGUA